rnacentral:rRNA from 1 species
UACGGGGGGGGCUAGCGUUAUUCGGAAUCAUUGGGCGUAAAGGGCGCGUAGGCGGCGCGGUAAGUCAAAGGUGAAAACCCUCGGCUCAACUGAGGAACUGCCUUUGAAACUGCCGUGCUUGAGUCCGGGAGGGGGUAGCGGAAUUCCCAGUGUAGCGGUGAAAUGCGUAGAUAUUGGGAGGAACACCAGUGGCGAAGGCGGCUACCUGGACCGGUACUGACGCUGAUGCGCGAAAGCGUGGGGAGCAAACAGG